rnacentral:rRNA from 1 species
AAACGAUGUCUACUUGGAGGUUGUGCCCUUGAGGCGUGGCUUCCGGAGCUAACGCGUUAAGUAGACCGCCUGGGGAGUACGGCCGCAAGGUUAAAACUCAAAUGAAUUGACGGGGGCCCGCACAAGCGGUGGAGCAUGUGGUUUAAUUCGAUGCAACGCGAAGAACCUUACCUGGUCUUGACAUCCACAGAACUUUCCAGAGAUGGAUUGGUGCCUUCGGGAACUGUGAGACAGGUGCUGCAUGGCUGUCGUCAGCUCGUGUUGUGAAAUGUUGGGUUAAGUCCCGCAACGAGCGCAACCCUUAUCCUUUGUUGCCAGCGGUCCGGCCGGGAACUCAAAGGAGACUGCCAGUGAUAAACUGGAGGAAGGUGGGGAUGACGUCAAGUCAUCAUGGCCCUUACGACCAGGGCUACACACGUGCUACAAUGGCGCAUACAAAGAGAAGCGACCUCGCGAGAGCAAGCGGACCUCAUAAAGUGCGUCGUAGUCCGGAUUGGAGUCUGCAACUCGACUCCAUGAAGUCGGAAUCGCUAGUAAUCGUGGAUCAGAAUGCCACGGUGAAUACGUUCCCGGGCCUUGUACACACCGCCCGUCACACCAUGGGAGUGGGUUGCAAAAGAAGUAGGUAGCUUAACCUUCGGGAGGGCGCUUACCACUUUGUGAUUCAUGACUGGGGUGAAGUCGUAACAAGGUAACCGUAGGGGAACCUGCGGUUGGAUCACCUCCUUACCUUAAAGAAGC